rnacentral:rRNA from 1 species
GAUGAACGCUGGCGGCGUGCUUAACACAUGCAAGUCGAACGAUGAACCAGGGCUUGCCCUGGGGAUUAGUGGCGAACGGGUGAGUAACACGUGGGCAACCUGCCCCAGACACCGGGAUAACCUCUCGAAAGAGUGGCUAAUACCGGAUAUGACCACUUUGGGCAUCCAACGGUGGUGGAAAGGAUUCUGGUCUGGGAUGGGCCCGCGGCCUAUCAGCUUGUUGGUGGGGUAAUGGCCUACCAAGGCGACGACGGGUAGCCGGCCUGAGAGGGCGACCGGCCACACUGGGACUGAGACACGGCCCAGACUCCUACGGGAGGCAGCAGUGGGGAAUAUUGCGCAAUGGGCGAAAGCCUGACGCAGCGACGCCGCGUGAGGGACGAAGGUCUUCGGAUUGUAAACCUCUUUCAGCAGGGACGAAGCGAAAGUGACUGUACCUGCAGAAGAAGCACCGGCUAACUACGUGCCAGCAGCCGCGGUAACAC